rnacentral:rRNA from 1 species
CCAGCAGCUGCGGUAAUUCCAGCUCCAAUAAGGAAAACUAAAGUUGCUGUGUUUAAAAAGCUCGUAGUUGAAUUUCGGGUAUUUGUUGCUAGCUGGUUCAAGUGACCAUGUUGGUUAACAGAUCCUCAUUUGCUGGACGGCUGGCGAUGAUCUUCAUCGAUUGUCGUCAGUUGCCAGAACGUUUACUUUGAGAAAAUUAGAGUGCUAAAAGCAGGCUCACGCCUAUAUAUAUUGCAUGGAAUAAUGAAAUAAGAUCUCGAUUUUAUUUCGUUGGUUUUAGAAAUUGAGAUAAUGAUUAAUAGGAUCAGAGGGGGGCGUACGUACUGUGGUGUGAGAGGUGAAAUUCUUGGAUCGCCACAGGACGAACAGCAGCGAAGGCGUUCGCCAAGAAUGUUUUCAUUAAUCAAGAACGAAAGU